rnacentral:rRNA from 1 species
AGGAGGCAGCAGUGGGGAAUGUUGGGCAAUGGCCGCAAGGCUGACCCAGCGACGCCGCGUGUGGGAGGACGCCCUUCGGGGUGUAAACCACUGUCAGGGGGGACGAAUGUCGGGCCGGUGAAUAGUCGGUCCGAGUGACGGUACCUCCAGAGGAAGCGCCGGCUAACUCUGUGCCAGCAGCCGCGGUAAGACAGAGGGCGCGAGCGUUGUUCGGAAUCAUUGGGCGUAAAGCGCGCGCAGGCGGGUUCGCAAGUCGGAAGUGAAAUUCCGGGGCUCAACCCCGGAGCUGCUCCCGAAACUGCGAGUCUAGAGACCGGUAGGGGCCGGUGGAAUUCCCGGUGUAGCGGUGGAAUGCGUAGAGAUCGGGAAGAACACCUGUGGCGAAGGCGGCCGGCUGGGCCGGAUCCGACGCUGAGGCGCGAAAGCGUGGGGAGCAAACAGGAUUAGAUACCCCUGUAGUCCG